UAUACAUUGUUUUAUUUCAACCAGGUCGCCCAGGUCGUCCAGGCAGGCUUGGCGGUAAACUAGGAAUUCAACAAGGAAGACGUGACAUCGUCCACGCUUUGGAGUCAAGCAUGAACUUGAAGGUGUUGAUUCUGCCAAAUGGCAGAAACCAGAAGAAUUGCUUCUGCACUUGCGACAGCGACGGACCCCCGAAGCUAAUCCCUGUGUCUUCACUGCCUUCAGAAAUCGCCAUUGACGGAUAGAAUCGAAAGUAGUUGUACUAGAAUAAAAACAGAUGGAUAGUACAACUAGCACUUCGUUUAAUGUGAGACAAAAAUCAUAACGUCAUCCAAUGACAAUGAAAAAGAGCUGUAUCGUAUUUAAGACUUCUCAUUAACACAUAAAUUAUGAUAGUUUACAUUUAAAGGUUUCGUCUAGUGCCGGUUUUCUAAUUAUAUCCUUACUAGCUUUCCGCCCGCGGCUUCGCCCGCGUGGAAUUUUGUCUGUCACAGAAAAACUUUAUCGCGCGCGUCCCUGUUUCAAAAACCGGGAUAAAAACUAUCCUAUGUUCUUUCCCGGGACUCAAACUAUCUCUAUGCCAAAUUUCAUCAAAAUCGGUUGCGAGGUUUAAGCGGGAAAGCGUAACAGACAGACAGACAGACAGAGUUACUUUCGCAUUUAUAAUAUUAGUUGGGAUUCCUCCGUCAACUGUCAAAUUUUAAUGUAGGUAUUUGGUCAAAAAAUAUCUCUAACUCCACGGAAUCCAUGAAAAAUCAAUAGAACUGAAACACCCACGUUCUAUUGAUAAAUGAUGUCAAUUUUUCACUCGACAUUGGCAGAAAUAAGCCUCCCAGAGAUUUGGUUGCCACUAAAUAAAAAAAAAUCUCUACGGUUUUCGAAGUUUUUACAGAUUCAUGUAGUUUUUAUGACUAUUUAAACAAUUAGAAAGCGUAAACGCAUCAAAAAUUGUGGAUAUUCGAUCGAAAACUGAUUGAAAUUGUCAGUUGAAAUCCAGAUUUGGUUAUGGAUUGAAUAUUGGGAAACGGGCGUUAGUGAGGCAAAAAAUAUAUGUCAUAUAAUGUCAUUUAAGUUUUCAUUAUUGUUUGAAUUUGUCAACUGUCAGAAUUUAAGCCAGUGGUCUUCAAUAAAGUGCCUCACAUUUCUUGCAUUUACUAUUAAGUAGGUAUCUAUCCAUCUGAUAGAAAUAUCUCGUUUUGUAUGUAAUAGUUUAUGUCUAAUAGAUACAUUUAAUGUAUCCAGGUUUUUAAGCCUUGAAAGAAUGUAACACUUACUUUAAAAAUAAAAUGCAUAUAUAAGUAUUUGUGUCAA